GAUGAACGCUGGCGGCGUGCCUAAUACAUGCAAGUCGAGCGAACAGACGAGGAGCUUGCUCCUCUGACGUUAGCGGCGGACGGGUGAGUAACACGUGGAUAACCUACCUAUAAGACUGGGAUAACUUCGGGAAACCGGAGCUAAUACCGGAUAAUAUAUUGAACCGCAUGGUUCAAUAGUGAAAGACAGUUUUGCUGUCACUUAUAGAUGGAUCCGCGCCGCAUUAGCUAGUUGGUAAGGUAACGGCUUACCAAGGCAACGAUGCGUAGCCGACCUGAGAGGGUGAUCGGCCACACUGGAACUGAGACACGGUCCAGACUCCUACGGGAGGCAGCAGUAGGGAAUCUUCCGCAAAGGGCGAAAGCCUGACGGAGCAACGCCGCGUGAGUGAUGAAGGUCUUCGGAUCGUAAAACUCUGUUAUUAGGGAAGAACAAAUGUGUAAGUAACUAUGCACGUCUUGACGGUACCUAAUCAGAAAGCCACGGCUAACUACGUG
rnacentral:rRNA from 1 species